CAAUAAACUCCGUAUUUUUUAUAAAUGUGCCUUUGUUUUAAUUGUGAAAAAAACAAAAAAACCUCGAACAUAAUUUGUGACCUCGCAUUUAAAAUCGCUGAAUACAUAUUCAAAUUAUCUAACUAGUGUAACAAUGCCUAACGCCACUGAAAAUUUGGUUAAUCAGGAGAUGGUCGGAAUGAAAGUUCUCAAGCUCUUAAUAAUGCUGCUUCUAGUGACCAUAAGCUGCCUCCAUUCUGAAAAAAAAAUCCAAAACUCUGGUUUAUGCAGGCUGAAGCUAUUUUUGGAAUUUCUGGAAUCACUUGCGAUGAGACCAAAUUCCAAUACGUUAUAGCAAACAUCAAUUCAAACUUUCUACCUCACAUUUGUGAUAUUUUGGAAUCCCUCCUGUCCGCGUCCGAUUUAUCUCUUAUUUCUCGAAGCUUCAAAACUACAGAAAAUUACGCAUUUAGAUUUUGGAUUACGCAGAAAAUUUUCUUGGACACUUAUUAUAGCAGAUGCUACAAAACCAAUUAUUGGAUUUGAUUUUUUAAAACAUGUCCAUCUUCUGCCUGAUUUAAAACGUAAAGCAUUGAUUGAUGGCAAAAUCGAUUUUCAAGUUUCAGCGAAAAUACCUAAAUCUCCGUCACGAGGCAUAACAACGUUGGUGAAAGAUGACUCUGUAAACAACAAAUUGUUAAUGAAGUAUACAGAAGUCAAUCAAGCAUCCACUCUUCCUGCAAUAUAUCUCCAUAUUAAAACAAUUGGACCACCCGUUGUUGCAAAACCAAUGACGCUUAGGCCCAAAUCGUUUUCAAAUUGCCAAAAAAGAUUUUCAGUACAUGCUUGAACUUGGGAUUAUUAGACCGCCAUAUGUUUCCCAAGAAAAAUGGAGAAUGGAGAUGUGGUGGAGAUUAGCGAUUUUUAAAUAAAAUCACGGAGCCAGAUCGUUAAUCUAUACCUUUUAUCACUGCUACCAACAAUAACUUAGCCGGUAGUACCCGCAUUCUAUCAAAUUCCUGUAUUUUCCGACGUCGUACCAAAAACUGCUGCUGUUCCUCCUUUUGGUUUAUAUGAAUUUGUCAAAAUGCCGUUUGGAUUGCGAAAUGCCGCCCAUAGCUUCCAACGUUACAUGGAUGAAGUACUAAGUAGGUUACCUUUUACAUUCGUCUACAUUGAUGAUUAUUAUUAUAUUUUCAAAAUCACCUGCUGAACAUAUGGAGAAUCUGAAGAUCGUUUUUGGGAGGUUUCAGAUAUGGUGUUGUCAUCAAACAGGGUAAAUGUUAUUUAGAUAAUAAUGAACUCGAUUUUGUUGGUUUCGGAAUAUCAUCAACUAGAAUGCAACCCAUUCGAAGCAAAAUUGAUGAAAUUGAAAGUAUUCCUAAGCCUUCGACUAUUAAGGACUUACGACGCUUUCUCAGAAUGGUAAACUUUUAUAGGCGUUUUUUACCUAACGCAGCAAGAUAUCUAGCUUCACAAAACCAACAUCUGAAGAACGUAGUCAAAAAUUAGAAACGACCUGUAAUUUGGACUGAAGCUGAGAAAUCAUUUUCGCAACGUAAAUCAAGCUUAUAAAUGUGUUGUUAUUUCAUCCGGUUAGUGAUGCUGAAUUAUCUAUUAAAGUAGAUGCAUCAGACCUUGCUUUAAGAGCUGUUUUAGCGAAUCAAUGAUGCAUUUCAACCACUAUCUUUCUUUACCAAGAAACUAUGCAAAUCUCCGCGACGCUAUAGUACUUACGAUCGAGAGCUAUUAGGGGUUUAUGAAGCUAUUAAAUAUUUUCGGGAAUAUUUAGAAGGGUGUUCGUUUUCUAUCUAUACUGAUCACAAGCCAUUAAUUUACGCUUUUUCUCAAAAGCAACAAAGCAAGUCUUCCUCAACUACGACAAUUACAUUAUUUGUCAAUUUUCAACGGGUUUGAUAUACAUUGAGGGUAAUGAAAACAUCAUGGCAGAUAAAUUCUCUCGUGUAGAAUCAUUAUCAUUAUUGAAUUUUGAAGAACUUUAAAAGCUUCAACGAAGCGAUGAAGAGCUUCAAGAUAUUUUAAUAUCCGAAAUAUUUUUGAAAUUGCAACUCAUUACAAUUCCUGCCUCAAAUACGAAGAUAUUUUGUGAUGUGUCUCAAGCCUUUAAUCCAAGACCUUAUGUUCCUGUUGCAUUGCGGAAAUCUAUAUUUUAUGGUUUACACAAUUUAUCUCAUCCUGGUUCAAGAUAUUCCCUAAAGCUUGUUACUGAACUGUAUUGUUGGCCUUUUAUAAGAAGAGAUUGCGUACAGUGGACGAAGUCGUGUCAGGAUUGUCAAAGAUCAAAAAUAACUGGCCAUACAAAAAGUCCUAUCGGGACACUCCCACUAUCUUCGCAAUGUUUUGCUAAGGUGCACAUAGAUAUAGUUGGUCCAUAUCCACUUUCAGAUGGACUUCGAUAUCUUCUAACCUGCAUUGAUUGAUUUUUCGGAUGGAUGGAAGCAAUACCGAGUAUUACAGCUGAAAAUGUAUCCGUAAGUUUCUUAAAUGGCUGGGUAUCUUGUUUUGGUUCACCAGAUAUUGUGCACACAAACGGAAGAUGUUAGUUUACAUCGAAUUCUUUUCGGAAUCUAUUAAAGCUUUUGGGAACACGAUUAAAACAUUCGACAUCUUAUCAUCCAGAAUCGAAUGGAUUAAUUGAGCGCCUUCGCAGAGCUCUUAAAUCCGCAUUGUUAUGCCACAACAAAACCCAAUGGACAAGUUUUGCUUGGAUUAAAAGUUUUGGUAAAAUAUACUAUUAGUUGCUCUCCGGCGGUGUAUGGCGAAACACUUCAUGUUCCUGGACAAAUGUUGACCGAAACUAAUUCCGAUAUAUAUUCAGAUGAUUUUUUCAAAAUAUUUUACCCUUCAAAUCGGAAGCAAAACAGCCAACAGAUCGCCCCUUGCAAAUCGAAAGCUGUGUAAUGCUCAGGUAGGGUGUAAUGCACACUGCCUGGAACAUCGGAUAUUGUAUCAAGGAUAACACAGUAUCCAUAGCCGCCACAUGACCAAAGAGAAAGAUACCUUAACCUCUCGUCACUGCACGCUGCAAUUUGUCCAGCCACAAUGUCCAGAGACAUUAGAUGUAGCAUUAAGAUGGUGUCGUCCUCAGUGCGGCUGUGAUGCACAAAUGGAGCUAGAGGUCUAAAAUUUGGCAUGUAGGUACAAGAAGGAAAAUAUGAUGGUGACUCAAUGAUCCAUACCAAUACCAAAAAGUGCGAAACAGUACGAAAUAACUUAUUUUCGCCAAUAGCGAACGGGGACUGCCAAAAAUUAAGCAAGUUCACGAACAUUAUCGUAGUCUUGACAAAAAUACGACAUGUGGAAGAAAACGUACAAAUUGGGUUGUAAUUUAUACCUUGAAACUAGAAUAAAUUUUUAUGCGUAAAUUUUGGUACUCAAGCA
rnacentral:sRNA from 1 species